CACUUUGUGUUGUUUCCCCCCGGGAACUAGCAUAUCAAUAAGCGGAGGAAAAGAAACCAACAGGGAUUGCCCUAGUAACGGCGAGUGAAGCGGCAUCAGCUCAAAUUUGAAAUCUGGCUCUUUUAGGGUCCGAGUUGUAAUUUGCAGAGGGCGCUUUGGCGUUGGCAGCGGUCCAAGUUCCUUGGAACAGGACGUCACAGAGGGUGAGAAUCCCGUACGUGGUCGCUGGCCUUCGCCGUGUAAAGCCCCUUCGACGAGUCGAGUUGUUUGGGAAUGCAGCUCUAAAUGGGAGGUAAAUUUCUUCUAAAGCUAAAUACUGGCCAGAGACCGAUAGCGCACAAGUAGAGUGAUCGAAAGAUGAAAAGCACUUUGGAAAGAGAGUCAAAUAGCACGUGAAAUUGUUGAAAGGGAAGCGCUUGCAGCCAGACUUGCCUGUAGUUGCUCAUCCGGGCUUUUGCCCGGUGCACUCUUCUGCGGGCAGGCCAGCAUCAGUCUAGGCGGUUGGAUAAAGGCCUCUGUCACGUACCUCCUUUCGGGGAGGCCUUAUAGGGGAGGCGUAAUGCAACCAGCCUGGACUGAGGUCCGCGCAUCUGCUAGGAUGCUGGCGUAAUGGCUGUAAGCGGCCCGUCUUGAAACACGGACCAAGGAGUCUAACAUCUAUGCGAGUGUUUGGGUGUCAAGCCCGAACGCGUAAUGAAAGUGAACGGAGGUGGGAUCCCUUUAGGGUGCACCAUCGACCGAUCCUGAUGUCUUCGGAUGGAUUUGAGUAAGAGCAUGGCUGUUGGGACCCGAAAGAUGGUGAACUAUGCUUGAAUAGGGUGAAGCCAGAGGAAACUCUGGUGGAGGCUCGCAGCGGUUCUGACGUGCAAAUCGAUCGUCAAAUUUGGGCAUAGGGGCGAAAGACUAAUCGAACCUUCAAUCCGCC
rnacentral:rRNA from 1 species